rnacentral:lncRNA from 1 species
UACAUUCGCGUAGAUUAACUUUUGAUACGAGACCUCCUCAGUCUACGUUGGAACCUCGAUUCGUACGCGCGAGCUGGGACACGUUGUACGCUUUCGGGUAUCAAAUUUCUAUUAGUGACAGCGAAUUACUUUAGUCUACAGCGUAAGUUUUGGAGCGAGACAGGGUACUCGCGCAGCUGUAAAGUCGACGAACAAGUAGCCAGCCAGAGAACAAAAGAUCGGCCCAGCACUGGUGCGCCAACAGGGGGGAAAAUAAACGAGCAAACGAUCCAGAGAAGUGCACAACGGUAUAGCUUGUUAAUUAUUAAUUAAGGAUGCGUUUGCUGCUAGCGAUCGUAGUUCUAAGUUUCUGGAUUUCGUGCGUUCGUGCCUAUCCUGCGAACGGUAUGAUCAAGAAUAAUCUGAAUCGGGACUCCAUCUACUUUCCCGACCAAGCAGAAUACCUACGGCAUUCCAUGAAAUGUUCUCAGAACGAGAUUUCGUGGCCAUUUUAUGGAUAUAUUCGUCGGUGUUACAGAGAAGGCGAACAAGGUCCCUGCAAUAUCGGCAGAAUUUUGGUCUUUGAUAAGAAAUACAUGAAACCUGUUUGCAAAGAGAUGACGUUACAAUAAACAACCGAGGGUUGCAGAUACUGCUCUUACCGAUUCGACGGAAUUCUGGCAAAGAUGUCAGCAGGAAUACAGUAGUUGCGCUCCAUAUAUUUGGAAUAUUAGUUCGAGUUUAUAAUUCUGUUUUUUUUAGUAUAGAGUAAUAACUCAUAAUAAUAACUCAUUUUAUAUAUUCA